AGGACUUCAUUGUAACAUGAUGCUCAUUACAUUGCGUUUUAUGAUGUAAACUUCACUGGUUGUGUCCAAAAUGGCACCUUCCAUGUUUAGUGCACUGCUUUUGACCCUAUGGGCCCUGUUCAAAAGUAGUGCACUAUAAAUGGAAGAGAAUGGCUUUUGGGACGCAGUGACUGACUUCCGUGGUUGCGUUCUCUUCUCCCAGUUAUUGUACCCAGCUCGGUCACACCAGCUUGCUCUUCUUACUUAUAGACACCAGCAAUGCCGCAAGUGACGUCAUUCGUGGUGUUGUGGCUGACCUUAAUGCUACUGAGGAAUUCCCUGCCAGUGGCCUUAGCCCAGGGGAAGAGACUAAGAAGAACAGGAAGUGGCAUUUCCUACCCAAAAUUGUCAAGAUUCCAAAGAUCAGGAUUAAGGUAGAGGGCUCAGUGUCUUUAGAUUACCUCUGUAAGGCAGGGCUGAAAUGUACCCUACAGAUUCACUAAACCCCUAUUGUCUCUGCAUUAGAACAAUGCUGUUAUCAUUGUCUUUAGGAGGUUGAGUGAGACCGCUGUAAUACAAUCCUAAUAUACAUGGGAUAGAGUCAAUGUCUGUGUCCCAAAUUGCAUCCUAUUCCCUAUAUAGUGCACUACUUUUGACCAGAGCUGGACCCUUGUAAAAAGUAGUGCCUUACGUAGCCUGUCUUUUUGGGUGCACGACAGUUAUUUUACACAGGCUCAGUUGUCCUGAUGUGUUUUGUCAACAGCUGUACAAGACAAAAGGGGAACCGAAGAGCCACCCUGAACAGGAUACUCUGCCUACCAAACGUCUCAGAGAGACUCGUAUUUCACAGGGUAAGUGAUAAGCAUCGAUAAUGUCAUAUUGAUGUAUCACCCUAUGGCCAGCUUGUUAAAACGGUGACUACAGAUACAGGCGGACAGACAGAUACACACAUUAAUUUUCUGAUUAUGAAAUACUCUUAUCACAGAUGCUGAGUGUGAGGUUCCAUCCACUUCCCCACCCAAAGAGGACCUGACAACCACACUGGCCCCUGCUCCCCAGGAGUCCCAGUCCCGUAAACGCCCUCUCAUAGUCAGGGUUGUUGCAUCCCCACACCUACCAGUGAAGCACCACAGGCUAAUAUGAGCGUUAGCUCUGGGUUGUUGUGAACUAACACCUGGCUACUAAGUAGAUGUGCUUUUCAGGAAGCCAAGGCACAUAGGCUUUUCUGGGACCAUUCCCAUUUGACAUCUUUCUGCAGUGGAGCAUUUCAAAAGGUGUGUGAUAUCCAUUCGAAUGUCCUUAACUAUAGGCUUAACUAUGGUAGUUAGAUUUGGAAUGAAUUUGCCAUAAUAGUUAAGGAAGGAAAGGUAAGACCUGAACUCAGUGGUGUUUCUAGGAAUGGGAGCCUUCUCAAUAGCUUCAGUUUUCUGUUUCAUGGGGUGUAUCCCCUCUGCAUCUAUCACAUGACCUAAAUAGGCUAUGCUGUUCUGGAAGAAAGAACAUCUCUUUUAACUUUCAGAUUGCAGACUGUCUUUUUGGGACUUCUUCAAGAUUUCGCAUGUGUCACGCAUAUCAUCAAUAUAUCACGCAUAUCAUCUUCUAUACCUUGUAGGAUCUGAACCAUCAUUUUCUGAAAAAUAUGACGCACAGGCAACACCAUAAGGAAGCCUGUUGACCUUAAAACAACCCCUUAUGUGUAUUCAUGGUGAGAUAGUGCUUAGACCGCUCCUCUAACUGUACUUGCUCGUAUGCCUGUGACAAAUCCAGCUUUGUUAACGUCUCACCCCCGGUCAGCUUUUUGAACAAGUCCUGUGUUUUUGGUAAGGGAUACUGAUCUACUUCCAGCCACGGAUUGAUAGUUACCUUGUAAUCUCCACAUAUUCUUACAGUACUGUCUGUUUUCAGGAUACACACAAUUGGAGCAGCCCAUUGACUGUAGUUGGAGGAAGGACCCCUUCUGACUCCAACGUAACUAGCUGUUUUUCAACCGCUUCUCUAAGUGCAUACGUACUGGGCAAGGACUGCAGAACUUAUGUGCAGCCCUAUUAGUUACAUGUAGCUUGGCUGUGAUACCUUUUAGCAUCCCUAGCUCUGGCUGAAACAAAUAUUUUUCACACAAACCAUCUACUGUCUCUACAGCUGUUACUGUGUACAUGUGACCAGUCUAGCUUCAACUGACUGAUCCAGUCUCUACCCAGCAGGGCAGGACCAUUUCCUUCUACCACCAUCAAGUUUCAAAAAGUUGUACUCCCAUUACACUUGACCUUGACUGAGAUUUUCCCACUUAGAACUAAUUACUGUAUGUUUUUAACACCCAGUUUGCAGGGCUCAAUUUUACCCUUUUGAACUUGCGGUUGUACAACCUCUCUGAUAUCAAACUGCUGCACCUGUAUCAACUUUCAUGUUGAGUCUCACAUCAUCUAUCCUUACAUACAAAGUCUUUACGUCUACUGCAAACAGUUCAGUUCCUUUUACGUUACCCAACUCAUAGUCAGUGGUGAAAACGGCUGAGGUCCCUUUAUCAGAGUUCUCACUCUCAUUUGAGAUGUAAUGCUCCAAACUCUGGCACUUGAGUGCGAUGCAAUGCUCCUGUGUUGAAAUGACGUUCUUGUCCUCUCUCUCGCUGGUGUGCGUUGCCCUGAUCAUCGUUGCUCCACUCGUCUUUUGCCUCGUUUAAUUGUUUCCCACAUGACGCGAGCGGCAAGUCAUGGCUACGUGUCCUUUCUUCUUGCACUCCAGAAGCUCAAAAUCCACGUAGCGCCACUCAUCUGGCUUGUGCCCUUUCCCACACAACGGUAACAUGGUUUACAGGUUGCCUCCGUUUUCUUGGCAACGCUUUUCUUCUCAACUGCAUUUGCUUUGAAAGUAUUUNNNNNNNNNNCACUGGGUAAGUACAACACAACCCCCUACUAGCCUAACACAUAACAACACACAGCUGUCUGUGCGGGUCGCUACAGUCCAUUAACACAUUGUAAGUCUUUCUGCCAACAAUCGUCAGAAAAAAAUGUUUUAGACAUAUCCUCGUACUUGAGCCCAUUAACGUUAGCUUCAAAACAUUCCUCGAAGUGGAAAUUUUCGGCCUCGCCCAGCGACCUCUUCCGUGCUAGCUUUUCUACAGACCG
rnacentral:lncRNA from 13 species